GCCUCUGUAGCAUAGCAGCUAUUGCGUCGGCCUUGUAAGCCGAAGGUCGAGGGUGCAAUUCCCUUCAGAGGCU
rnacentral:tRNA from 1 species